UAAUUACCACCACCAAUCAUGAAAACCAUAGCUUCUUUAAAUGGCCCUUUGAGAUGGCUGCUACCAGCCCCUGACUUGGGAGCACGAGGAUCAAACACAAGGUAAGAGUCAAUUUCAGGAUUAGGUUUACCCUCCAUCAAAGCUUCCACAAUCCUUGUUAAUGCUAGCUGCCUAUCACUGGAUAAUAAAUUCUUCACACCAGCCGUCACAGCACUAAUUGACUGUCCAUAAAGCUUUUCGGCCCAAUCUACAAUAUUACUCCUACUUGCAGAAUUUGCUGAUGCCAGUGAAACAUUCAAGGACUUGAUUUUCUUCACAUACUGGAAUGCACAAGUAUCAACCUCAGACUCCCUAAGAGCUGCUUCCACUGAUUCAGCUUCUGACUGGUUAAUGCUAUCAGAUGAUAUAAGGUAAAUGAUUGCAAAUCUCAACUUAUCCAUCUUGGACCCUUUCCCUCUAAGCACUCCCAAAAGUUCAUUUCGAUCAAUCCCACCUCUGACCAUCAUGUCAUUCUC
rnacentral:misc_RNA from 1 species